rnacentral:rRNA from 1 species
GACGAACGCUGGCGGCGUGCUUAACACAUGCAAGUCGAACGGAAAGGCCCUGCUUUUGUGGGGUGCUCGAGUGGCGAACGGGUGAGUAACACGUGAGUAACCUGCCCUUGACUUUGGGAUAACUUCAGGAAACUGGGGCUAAUACCGGAUAGGAGCUCCUGCUGCAUGGUGGGGGUUGGAAAGUUUCGGCGGUUGGGGAUGGACUCGCGGCUUAUCAGCUUGUUGGUGGGGUAGUGGCUUACCAAGGCUUUGACGGGUAGCCGGCCUGAGAGGGUGACCGGCCACAUUGGGACUGAGAUACGGCCCAGACUCCUACGGGAGGCAGCAGUGGGGAAUUUUGCACAAUGGGGGGAAGCCUGAUGCAGCAACGCCGCGUGCGGGAUGACGGCCUUCGGGUUGUAAACCGCUUUCGCCUGUGACGAAGCGUGAGUGACGGUAAUGGGUAAAGAAGCACCGGCUAACUACGUG